AGUUACUGUAGUGGCUCACGUACAGAGUACUCGAACAACUUCCUUAGGAAAAAUCCAAAAUGGUGUUCGGCCAAGCAUCCCGUGUUCUUGUGAGGAGAUUUACAACCUCAGCAGCCAGAAGAAGUCAAGAAUGGCAGCAAGAAGGCGUACCGGGAUCUAACCUGCCAUUUAACAUCCACAACAAGACAAAAUUGACCCUGUACUUCAUACUGUUCUUUGGUAGUGGUUUGACUGCACCUUUCAUUCUCCUUCGAAGACAUUUACUUAUUCAGUACUCAAAGUAACUGAUCAUAAAUUAUAUGGAAUGUGUGCUUAGAGAACGUUUUGGAAUGAAGUGCUUACUUUCAAAAGUAGAACAUCAUACAGAAGAAACAUCAGCUGUGGAUUUGGAAUGAUGCUCUUCAACUUCUUUACAAAAUAUACAUGAAAUUUUGAAUUUUUUUACAACUGCCCUAAUGCAAGUGUACGUCAAACUAGUUUACACCUGUAUACAAAUUAUACAUGAACUUUAGAAAUCAUUUAACUUUACUGAAGCAAGAUGUUUUUUAAAUUAGUAUACAAAGCAAAAUGGGAUUAUUGUAGUAAUUUGGAAAAUCAUUAGCUGGAUUUGGUGUGCAGUACUUUGAAAGUUGUUACUUGUAAUUUGUUUUCCAUAAUUAUGUAGUCUUACCUCAUAUUUGAAAUAUGGUGGCACUUGAUGUAAUAAAUACCUUUGAUAAAAUG